CCUACGGGAGGCAGCAGUGAGGAAUAUUGCUCAAUGGACGAAAGUCUGAAGCAGCGACGCCGCGUGAGGGAUGAAGUCCGUUUGGAUGUAAACCUCUUUUGCAGAAGAAGAAUGUUUCGAUUUCUCGAAAUUGACGGUAUUUUGCGAAUAAGCACCGGCUAACUACGUGCCAGCAGCCGCGGUAAUACGUAGGGUGCGAGCGUUGUCCGGAAUUACUGGGUGUAAAGGGUCCGCAGGCGGGCGAGUAAGUCUGUGGUGAAAUCUUACGGCUUAACCGUAAAUUGCCACGGAAACUGCUUGCCUUGAGUGUGAAAGAGGAGGAUGGAAUUCAUGGUGUAGCAGUGAAAUGCGUAGAUAUCAUGAAGAACACCGGUAGCGAAGGCGAUCUUCUGGUUCACAACUGACGCUCAGGGACGAAAGCGUGGGGAGCAAACAGGAUUAGAUACCCUGGUAGUCCACGCCCUAAAACCAUGGAUACUCGAUGUCGGUAGUACGAAGUAGUUCGGUGUCGUGAGACAACGACAAUAAGUACUACCUACCGUACGGGUAGGUACGACGUCGACGAGGUUAGUAAACGUAAAAGGUAAAGUUAGUACGGACGUGAGACGUCGACCGACGGACGACGACGAGGGAGGAGG
rnacentral:rRNA from 1 species